UAUGCAAUGACAUUUUGAUUUAACCAUAUUUUAUUGCUCAUAUAUACAUGCAAGUAGAUACAUAGAAUUACAAAAAUACAAAAGCAAAUGGGUUGGGCAACAAGUUCUAACAACAUUACAUUAAGCCCUUCCCAGUAUAUGCAAUGAUAUGUAUCUAGUAUGAUAAUGUUAUUAUGAUGGUGAUGAUGAUGAUGAUGUUGGUGGUGGUGGUGGUAUGAUGAAGAUUAUGAUAUUAUGACGAUAUGACAAUAAUGUUGUUCAUGAUGAUGAUGUUUAUGCUAUUAUGAUAAUAUGGUGAUAUACAGUUUGUGUCUAUAUGAUCAUAAUGAUAUGAUGAUGAUGAUGGUAUGAUGAUGAUUUGGUGACAAUAUGGCGUUGAUAGCGAUUAAAUUACGAUCAUAAAUAUGAUAAUAAUUAUAAUUAAUGAUAAUGAUAAUGAUAUAACAUGAUGAUGAUAAGACUAUGCUGAGAUGAUAAUGAUUACCAUGAUGGUAUGUUAUGAGAAUAACAUGAUAUGAUAUUACACGAUAAUAUGUAUUUGAUCACGAUGAUGAUAUGGUAUAACGAAUCUGUUAUGAUGAUGGUGAUGGCAUGAUAAUGAUGACAAUAAUGAUUGUAAUAUUACGAAAUGAUAAUGAUAUGAAAUCAUGUUGGUACGUUAUAGUACGUUAAGGACGAUGGUGAAGAUGACAAUGGUGAUAAUAUUCUGACGAUGAUAAGACAACAAUGGCGAUGAUGAUGAUGAUGAUGUUGAUGAUGUUGACAAUUACUGAUCUCAAUAAUUAUGAAAAUGUUCCAUAUUACUAUUUCGUUUUAAUAUAUUGUAAUCAUUAAGUAUUUCAGUUUGCUAGUAAUACUCCAACAUUAGGGGAAACAUCAGGUAAAAUGAAUCAAAGGUUAAAGGUAACGUCAGGUAAAAGGUAAAAUUACGUUUGACUUAGUUUUGAAGUUGUUUAAAACUGUUUUCAUUGGUAAAUAUUUCAGAAACUAAAUUUAAAAGGAAUGAUAUUAAUAUAUUAAUAUGGAAGGGCAUUUAAGUAAAAAAUCCUUGCAUGUUAAUGACUUAUUAUUGCAUGUUAAUGACUUAUUAUUGUGUGUUAAUGACUUAUCCAUUGGUGUAAAUCACUUGUUAUUGCAUGUAAAUGAUUUGUUAUUUUGUGUAAGUGACUUAUUCUUGAAUGUAACUGAGAAAGUGAUUAUGCUGUAUUUCUUGUUUACUUGUCAUUCUUAACAUGUUUGUGUGUUCUUAUUCUUGAUGCAUUAAUGAAACAUUUCAGAUUUAUUGACGAUAUUCACUGCCACCAUUAAAUCUACAUCGGUCUAAAUGAAAUAUAUCGUGUAGCAGGUUAUCGAAUGGAAGAAGCAGCAAGCAUCAAGGAUAACGACGAAAGCAUAAUAUAAAAUCGCGUUUUGGCGCCAGGCGGCGCUGCUCUCAUGAAUAUUCGACAUUUUCCGUGAAACCGUGAAGAAAGUUUUUUUUGUUACGUCCCUUACUAGCAUAUACGCCAUUUGUAACGCAUUCAUUUGCGUAACCGCCAGCCAUGUUUCCUGGGAUCGAAGACACUCAGUUUUAAGUAAGUCAUCUGUAUUUCGUAAAUGUUUGGCAUCCCAAUGGUUAUAUCGAAAGUAUCGGAUAGAUCUAACACUGGUAACAGGAGUUUUUAAGAGCAUAUCCAUGAUUCUUAAGAGGGCGGCCGUGGUCGGCAAUUGUGUGUACGCACGCAUUGAAUGUAGGGCCUACACCAUUAAAUCAUGUUAAACCAAAGAAGUAUAAAAUUUAUUUUUAUAGCUCUUUGGUUAAACCUAUAAACUGGUAACUGUUUUUUGCUGUGGGUAUCUUAUUAGUCAUUUAAUUUCUGGCUGGUGACUACUCUUGCCAGUAUUGCUGAUUCAGAACGUUUUGUGACAGGAUGAUUGGAGGCCCCAAUAUUGAUAGUGGGAAUUUAGAAAAUCUUUUUAUUUUCGCAUUUUUGAGCCUUGCUGAGUGAAAAAUACGAUCUUUUAUUAAACAAUGGAUUCUUAGUGUGAUAACUUUAAAAGUAUUCUGUGGUAUAUUAAUGAAACCUUUCACAUUAUAAAUUAAUUUGAUAUUCAAAUUGAUUUUAAGUGAUGUAAUUAUCUUCUUUCAGAUAUUAUACCUUGUUUCUUUCAUAGUUCAUUCCACUACAGCUUGGACUAUGCUCAACAUGUUCAUAUACCCAGCUACAGCCAGGAAGUUUGUCCAGUUUACUUUAAGACCCCAAGAAAAUGUAACAUAUUUGGGAUGUGUUGUAAGGGAUCAGGAAAACAAGUGUUUUAUCUUGUUGAUGAAAGCAACUCGGUUGGUAAAGGGGAAAACAACUUGUGAGCAUGGUACAUCACUGCCUGUAUUGGUGUUCCAUUUGAACAAUGCUGCUGGCCAGAAUAGAUACAAUAACUUGCUGUGGUAUGGUCUGUGGAGAAUUUGCCAGGAUAUCACAGCUCAGUUGGUUGAAUUUUCAAUAAUGAUAGCAGGCCAUACUAAAUUUGAACCUGAGUGGCACUUUGGAUUUUGGAAGAAUUGAUGGAGGAGGGUGAAUGCUUAGACCUUACAUGAUAUUGCAGACAGUGGAUCAGUCAUUGAAGGUCAUAAACAUUGCACAGAUGGUCAACAAUGAUUCAAAACCUGUCACAUUCUACCAGUGGAGAAAUUUCUUAUCACAUUGUUUUAAACCUUCAACAUGUUCAAAGAACAUUAGUAAUUUACCAAGUAUCAUUACUUUAUCAUGUCUGCAAAAACACUUGGAAUUGUUAGUGUUAAAAAUCUUAAGUGACAGUCCAGUUGUGACAGUCAGCAUACUAAAAUCUACUCCUCCUUAUGGAUGCAAUGCCGAACAAGUACUAUUUACAUGGAAUAACAACAGCCGGACAAUGGUACCUAUAUUAACAGAUAAGAGAAUAUUUUUUGUCUGAAAAGUCAAAGGAUACAGUUUGUCCCAAAAUUCUUGUACGGAAAACUUAAACUGUGAUUGAUGAGGAUUUUUCUGAGAACUGGAAAAAGGAAGUGGAUGUAAAAGAUAGAAAUUGUGGUUUAACUAAAGUUUUAAUACACAACACUUAAGCCUGUUUUGUUGUUCAUAUAGGUGUGUUUAGCUGUUAAGGUUACAAAUCCAGUAAAUGUUAUAGUUUCAAUUACAAACAUAAAAUAUCGGCUGGACCUAAAUAUUAAUGUUUUACAAGAGCUUUUAGCCAGUGUAACUUUUAUCAAAAGUUGUUCACCUUUAUGGUAGCAGUUUGCAUAUAACCUAUGGCCUCUAUAAACCUUUUAGUCAUUAUGACAAUUUGGCAUAAGGGUGAAUGUAACUUACAUCUUGAAUGACAAUACCAUACCAGAACUAUUGUUAGCUCAACUAUACGAAGUAUAAGGAGAGCUACCAUACUCGACCAGGCGUUGGCGUCUUUCCGUGUCCCCACCUUGGUUAAAGUUUUUUUUACACUUCCCUCUGUAAUUACUUGAUGAAUUUGAUUCAGACUUAAAAUAGUUAUUCCUCAUCAUCACCCACAUCAUCUGACUUAAGGGCCAUAACUCUGGUACCAAUAUUUCAUGAUUUUAUCCCCCCUUUUCACUUAGAUUUUCAGGUUAAAAAUUUUGAUGCACUUUCACUCUAUCUCUGUUAUUACUGAAUGGAUUUGAUUCAAACUUAAAAUCAACAUCAUCACCCCAUCAUUUGAAGCAAGGUGCAUAACUUUGGCACAACUUUUUCAUGAAUUAUUCCCCCUUUUUACUUAGAAUUUCAGGUUAAAGUUUUGAUGCACGUUCAUUCUAACUCUGUUAUUACUGAAUGUAUUUGAUCAAACUUAAAAUAGUUGUUCAACAUCAUCACCCACAUCAUAUGACAUAAAGUGCAUAACUCUGGCACAAUUUUGUCACGAAUUAUUCCCCCUUUUUACUUAGAAUUUCAGGGUAAAAUUUUGAUGCACUCACUCUAUCUCUGUUAUUACCGAAUUGAUUUGAUUCAAACUUAAAAUAGUUGUUCACCAUCAUCAUCCACAAGAUAUGACACAAGGUUCAUAACUCUGGCACAAAUUUUUCAGGAAUUGUUUCCCCUUUUUACAUAGAAUUUCUGGUUAAAGUUUUGAUGCACUUUUUUUACUCUAUCUCUGUUAUUACUAAAUAGAUUUGAUUCAAACUUAAAAUAAAUGUUCAACAACAUCAUCCACAUCAUAUGACACAAAGUGCAUAACUCUGGCACAAUUUUUUCAUGAAUUGUUUCUUCUUUUUACUUAGAACUUCAGGUUAAAGUUUUGAUGCACUUUAAAUCCAUCUCUGUUAUUACUGAAUGGAUCUGAUUAAAACUUAAAAAUAAUUGUUCACCAUUAUCAUCUUCAUCAUAUGACGCCCAAUGUGGUUCUAGAACGAUCUGUGUAUGAAACGAAUUGAAACCACUACCUGACCCUUGCAUGAUCGUAAGAGGCGACUAAUAGGGUAUUAACACUUGGUUUUGCAGUAACCCUGUAAUUCCAGCAGGUAUGCAAUAUUUGAUUCCAUACUAAGUCUUCAUGUUUUUAUUAUGCCCCCGAAGGGAGGCAUAUUAGUUUUCAACUGCCCGUCCGUUAGUUCGUUCGUUCGUUAGUUACAACGUUAACUUUUUGCAUGAAGGCACUUGACUCGCGAACCACUGCACCCAGGACCUUCAAACUUCACGUGCUGAUAGUACUUACUGAAUACACCACCCCUACU